rnacentral:rRNA from 1 species
GCAAGUCGGGGGGUAACAUAGAGAAGCUUGCUUUUCUGAUGACGACCGGCGCACGGGUGCGUAACGCGUAUACAAUCUACCUUGUACUGAGGAAUAGCCCAGAGAAAUUUGGAUUAAUGCUUCAUGGUCUAUCAAAAUGGCAUCAUUAUGAUAGUAAAGGUUACGGUACAAGAUGAGUAUGCGUUCUAUUAGCUAGUUGGUAUGGUAACGGCAUACCAAGGCAACGAUAGAUAGGGGCCCUGAGAGGGGGAUC